GACGAACGCUGGCGGCGUGCUUAACACAUGCAAGUCGAACGGGAAGGCCCUGCUUUUGUGGGGUGCUCGAGUGGCGAACGGGUGAGUAACACGUGAGUAACCUGCCCUUGACUUUGGGAUAACUUCAGGAAACUGGGGCUAAUACCGGAUAGGAGCUCCUGCUGCAUGGUGGGGGUUGGAAAGUUUCGGCGGUUGGGGAUGGACUCGCGGCUUAUCAGCUUGUUGGUGGGGUAGUGGCUUACCAAGGCUUUGACGGGUAGCCGGCCUGAGAGGGUGACCGGCCACAUUGGGACUGAGAUACGGACCAGACUCCUACGGGAGGCAGCAGUGGGGAAUAUUGCACAAUGGGCGGAAGCCUGAUGCAGAAACGCCGCGUGCGGGAUGACGGCCUUCGGGUUGUAAACCGCUUUCGACUGUGACGAAGCGUGAGUGACGGUAAUGGGUAAAGAAGCACCGGCUAACUACGUG
rnacentral:rRNA from 1 species